UACGUAGGGGGCAAGCGUUGUCCGGAAUCAUUGGGCGUAAAGAGCGCGUAGGCGGUCCGGUAAGUCGGUUGUGAAAACUGGGGGCUCAACCCUCAGAGGCCGACCGAUACUGCCGGGCUAGAGUCCGGAAGAGGCGAGUGGAAUUCCUGGUGUAGCGGUGAAAUGCGUAGAUAUCUGGAGGAACACCGGUGGCGAAGGCGGCAUCCUGGACCAAUAUUGACGCUGAGGAGCGAAAGCCAGGGGAGCAAACGGG
rnacentral:rRNA from 1 species